GACGAACGCUGGCGGCGUGCCUAAUACAUGCAAGUAGAACGCUGAAGGAGGAGCUUGCUCUUCUGGAUGAGUUGCGAACGGGUGAGUAACGCGUAGGUAACCUGCCUGGUAGCGGGGGAUAACUAUUGGAAACGAUAGCUAAUACCGCAUAACAGUAGAUGUUGCACGACAUUUGCUUAAAAGGUGCAAUUGCACCACUACCAGAUGGACCUGCGUUGUAUUAGCUAGUUGGUGGGGUAACGGCUCACCAAGGCGACGAUACAUAGCCGACCUGAGAGGGUGAUCGGCCACACUGGGACUAAGACACGGCCCAGACUCCUACGGGAGGCAGCAGUAGGGAAUCUUCGGCAAUGGACGGAAGUCUGACCGAGCAACGCCGCGUGAGUGAAGAAGGUUUUCGGAUCGUAAAGCUCUGUUGUAAGAGAAGAACGAGUGUGAGAGUGGAAAGUUCACACUGUGACGGUAUCUUACCAGAAAGGGACGGCUAACUACGUG
rnacentral:rRNA from 1 species